ensembl:lncRNA
UAUCUACCCAAGGCCUUCCAAAGGGCUGUGUGCUCCUGUGUGAGGCCAGGCUAAUAUGGCGAGCUGGAGGAAGAUAACUUUGAACCAGUAACACGUCCUUGUGCCCAUGAAGGCCAAUGGGUCUAAAUAUCUCCAACCUCUUCCCUCUGAACUGAAGAGAAGAGUGUCAGAAUUCACUGCAUGCACUACAAGCAAAAGUGCUCCCAGCUGAAAAAUCCAACUGUUGUUCUCUUAGUUUGAAUGCAAAACCAGUAUUUUUCCAAAUAGCGAUACUAGAGGGAGUAGUCACACAGAUUUUAGAGACUCACAGUUGAGUACUUGAAGAUUUUGUCAAUGUAAUGAGAAAAGGAGAAGAAAAAAGAAGAAAGAAGAAGUCAUACCAACAAGCGGGUAUAUAUCUAACCAGUCAACUCUGGACAUCCACACCUGAUCAGGUAUAAGGAAACUGUAGGCAGUUGUGGAAGAACUAAAGAGUAAAUCUUAAC